UACGGGGGGGGCAAGCGUUGUUCGGAAUUACUGGGCGUAAAGGGCUCGUAGGCGGCCAACUAAGUCGGACGUGAAAUCCCUCGGCUCAACCGAGGAACUGCGUCCGAUACUGAAAGGCUUGAAUCCGGGAGAGGGAUGUGGAAUUCCAGGUGUAGCGGUGAAAUGCGUAGAUAUCUGGAGGAACACCGGUGGCGAAGGCGGCAUCCUGGACCGGCAUUGACGCUGAGGCGCGAAAGCUAGGGGAGCAAACGGG
rnacentral:rRNA from 1 species